UAUAACCGGCGAUUUCCGAAUGGGGAAACCCAGUGUGUUUCGACACACUAUCAUUAACUGAAUCCAUAGGUUAAUGAGGCGAACCGGGGGAACUGAAACAUCUAAGUACCCCGAGGAAAAGAAAUCAACCGAGAUUCCCCCAGUAGCGGCGAGCGAACGGGGAGCAGCCCAGAGCCUGAAUCAGUGUGUGUGUUAGUGGAAGCGUCUGGAAAGGCGCGCGAUACAGGGUGACAGCCCCGUACACAAAAAUGCACAUGCUGUGAGCUCGAUGAGUAGGGCGGGACACGUGGUAUCCUGUCUGAAUAUGGGGGGACCAUCCUCCAAGGCUAAAUACUCCUGACUGACCGAUAGUGAACCAGUACCGUGAGGGAAAGGCGAAAAGAACCCCGGCGAGGGGAGUGAAAAAGAACCUGAAACCGU
rnacentral:rRNA from 1 species